GACAGAGGUGCCGAGCGUUAGGCGGAAUCACUGGGCUUAAAGCGUGUGUAGGCGGACGGGUAAGUACCUUGUGAAAUCCCACGGCUCAACCGUGGAACUGCUGGGUAUACUGGUUGUCUUGAGCCAGCUAGGGGCGAGCGGAACAGACGGUGGAGCGGUGAAAUGCGUAGAUAUCGUCUGGAACGCCGAAGGUGAAAACAGCUCGCUGGGGCUGCGCUGACGCUGAGACACGAAAGCCAGGGGAGCGAACGGG
rnacentral:rRNA from 1 species